UACGGGGGGGGCAAGCGUUGUUCGGAAUUACUGGGCGUAAAGCGCGUGUAGGCGGUCUGGCAAGUCAGAUGUGAAAGCCCCGGGCUCAACUUGGGAACUGCAUUUGAUACUGCCAAGCUAGAGUACAGAAGAGGUGACUGGAAUUCCCAGUGUAGCGGUGAAAUGCGUAGAUAUUGGGAGGAACACCAGAUGCGAAGGCGGGUCACUGGGCUGAUACUGACGCUGAGGCGCGAAAGCUAGGGGAGCAAACAGG
rnacentral:rRNA from 1 species